UGCCUAAUUAAUGUUUGAUUAUUUAUUUUUCCAAUGAGGCUUCUGCACCUUCAAGUACUCUCAGGGCUUGUAACAAGCCUCCACAUCAUACCUAAGCAUAUUAUAAUUAGUGUUUGCCUUAGAAACAUACUAUUAUAAUGAGUAGUAGUAUGUUUCUUGAUUUAGGUUCUUCCUAUUGUGAUGUGCUACUAGACAGCCUAUAAUUAGUUCCAAAGAUGCAACCUUGCAUCUAUGAGGAAUGCCUAAAAUAAGAGAAUAAUUUCAUCACUGAACACUUUCCU
rnacentral:lncRNA from 1 species